rnacentral:lncRNA from 1 species
AGGACAGACCACGUGAUUUGACCGUCCGGACUAGUAUGAAAUGUCGAGUUCCAGGGGUUUGUGCACUUGUGGUGGCCCUACUGCUUUGCAAAGCCAUUGCCGAGGGGUUUCACCCGACCACACACAAGUGUAAGUCUAACCAAACUCAUCUUGGCCCAUAUAAAAUGGAGACACCCAAGACUAGGACCUCCUCCUAUUCUCACCACAUGACUCAUCACUCUCUAAUUGAGCAUGGAUGGUCAUUAGAAUGUCAAGGUAAACCUCAUCCUGAACUCCGGCCAUUCAUACGGUCAAUCACAACAACUACAGGGCACCACCAUGUAACCUCCCUUGAGGAUCAUGGAAUUACGUCCAAUAACCAUACUUUUAAAUUUUGACACACCACUCAU